ACUUUUCAGCUUAAAUUAAUAUACUCUUCUCUCUCAUGAAUUAUUAUUUAAGUUUACGUAUUUCACAAUAUGUUUCAAGAAAUUAAAAAGAAAAAAAUUCAAAAGAGAGAAAGAGUCUUUGAUCGGUGUUUGACGAGACACUGCACUUUAAUGGGCUUCUACUCUUUAUUUCUUCUUCUUCUCUCUCUCUCUCUCUUCCAAUUGCAAACAAACCCUAGCUACCUCUCUCUCUCUACAUCUCAUCAUGAACGAUCCUGAAAAUCCCGAUCUGACCAACCACGACUCCUCUUGGACACAACUCACAGCUCCAGACUCUCACUUCUUCCACAGAGACACUUCCGACAUCUUCUCUGACUUUGUCGGGAACCUCCACGCUUCCUCCCAAUCCGAUCAUCAUCAUCAUCCUCACUCCCUCCGGUUUGAUACCGGUUUAACACCAACUUCCGGUGUCCCAUCUUCCGUUACCACCACCACUCUACCCUCUACUCCUUCCUCUUCCUCAUCCCCCGCAGCUGCUCUUUCUGUUGCCGUUACAGAGGUUUCAACCUCUAAUGAUCUCCCCGCCACCUCCAGUUCAACCGAGGAUCCAACUGAGAACUCAACUGCCCCCGCCGCGAAAGCACCGGAGACGCGAACGGAGGAGAAGAAGAAGGCUCAGAAGCGAAUCCGGCAGCCAAGAUUCGCAUUCAUGACCAAGAGUGAUGUGGAUAAUCUUGAAGAUGGAUAUCGAUGGCGCAAAUAUGGACAGAAAGCUGUCAAAAAUAGUCCAUUCCCAAGGAGCUACUAUAGAUGCACGAACAGCAGAUGCACGGUGAAGAAGAGAGUGGAACGAUCAUCUGAAGAUCCAUCGAUAGUUAUCACAACAUACGAAGGACAACAUUGCCAUCAAACCACUGGAUUCCCUCGUGGUGGAAUCCUCACCGCUCACGACUCUAGUAACUUCACAUCCCAUCAUCUUCUCCCUCCUCCAUUGCCAGAUCCUUAUUACUACCAAGAACUCCUUCAUCAACUUCACAGAGACAAUACUUCUUCGCUGAGAUUACCCCAAUCUACUACUGAAGGACCUGCUGCAGUGUCGUCUAUUAAUCCACCAGAAGAAGGCUUGCUUGGUGAUAUUGUACCUCAAACCAUGCGCAAUACUUGAGGUACCCUCAGCAAAUCAUCACAACCUUGGUAACAAAUAAGGAGAGGUACUAACUAAUUUUAUAGAAGAUAUCGCAGACUGGAAAACAAUACGGCCACAACGGGUUGUAAGCAGAGAUCUCUAUAUUAUUUCAAUGUUGAUCAAUGGCGUCGGUUUCUUAAGAUGCAUGUAUGUGCACUUGGGGAAAAUGUGGAGGAUUUCCGGAUAUUAUUUUUGCUAAUCCUUUUGAGUUCUACAUUUAUUUGAGACUUUUUUCUAAUAACUUUAUAGGGUGAUAACUAUGGUCUAGCUUUAUUGCUUGGUGAAAUAUAUAUCUUCUAGUUGCUAUGUGAUGAAAAAUGGAUGUUUCGAACAAUGUUGAGAUCUACGUCAUUUUGAAUAUAUAGUGAUAAUAUAAUGCAAGUGUGCAAUUGGUGUCAUACGUUUGUUUGUAAGAGCAUCCUUAAAAAAACUCUCUACUUCAAAGUUUUCAAAACUUUUUAAAUUUCAAGGUGUUCUUCUCAAAAAAAAAAAAAAAAAAACUUCAAGUUUAAUUUCAAAAUUAUUUGUAUUUUCCACUAUAGUCCUUAUAUUUAUCAUAAUUAAUGUAAAUUCAUAUAUUUUAUAAAUAACUAGCACUUAUAUAAAAAUAUUACAUUAAUAUUAAUCAAUAAAAUAUUACACUUAUAAAUAGAAAUACAUAAUGAACUACAAGUAAAAUACCACAUUAUGCCAUAAAAUUAUUUUUAUAAUGCUCCACUUCGGUUAUACAAAUUGUUUUGGACAAUAUUUUGGAGGUUCCGGAGCAAAUUUGCAAGAUUAUUAAUUAGUAUUGUUGAAAUAUUUUUAAUUUGUGUUAUAAUUAUGUCUUCGAGUACCUUUAAAAAA